UACGUAGGGGGCAAGCGUUGUCCGGAUUUAUUGGGCGUAAAGAGCGUGUAGGCGGCUAGAUAGGUCCGUUGUGAAAACUCGAGGCUCAACCUCGAGACGUCGAUGGAAACCAUCUGGCUAGAGUCCGGAAGAGGAGAGUGGAAUUCCUGGUGUAGCGGUGAAAUGCGCAGAUAUCAGGAGGAACACCGGUGGCGAAGGCGGGUCUCUGGGCCGAGAUUGACGCUGAGGAGCGAAAGCGUGGGGAGCGAACAGG
rnacentral:rRNA from 1 species